rnacentral:rRNA from 1 species
AUUGAACGCUGGCGGCAUGCCUUACACAUGCAAGUCGAACGGCAGCACGGGAGCAAUCCUGGUGGCGAGUGGCGAACGGGUGAGUAAUAUAUCGGAACGUGCCCAGUCGUGGGGGAUAACGUAGCGAAAGCUACGCUAAUACCGCAUACGAUCUAUGGAUGAAAGCGGGGGAUCGCAAGACCUCGCGCGAUUGGAGCGGCCGAUAUCAGAUUAGGUAGUUGGUGGGGUAAAAGCCUACCAAGCCUUCGAUCUGUAGCUGGUCUGAGAGGACGACCAGCCACACUGGAACUGAGACACGGUCCAGACUCCUACGGGAGGCAGCAGUGGGGAAUUUUGGACAAUGGGCGCGAAGCCUGAUCCAGCAAUGCCGCGUGCAGGAUGAAGGCCUU